rnacentral:rRNA from 1 species
UACGGAGGGUGCAAGCGUUAUCCGGACUCACUGGGUUUAAAGGGAGCGUAGGUGGACUUUUAAGUCAGUGGUGAAAUCUCUGGGCUUAACCCGGAAACUGCCAUUGAUACUAUUAGUCUUGAAUUCUCUGGAGGUAAGCGGAAUAUGUCAUGUAGCGGUGAAAUGCUUAGAUAUGACAUAGAACACCCAUUGCGAAGGCAGCUUACUACGGAGACAUUGACACUGAGAGACGAUAGCUAGGGGAGCGAAUGGG